UGACGGCCGCUCCACCUUAUAGACAUUAUAUGAUAUGCACAUUUGUGUAUUUGAUUAUAACUUGUCUGGAGUCUGGCUCGAUUUUUUUGACUCAAUUGAACGCAGACGUGAUUGCAAGUCCUUGUUGAACAAAUUAUAUAUAUACUACUUCAUCAUUAGUAUAUAUAGUUCGCUUCUCAUGUCGUAGCAGUCAAACGGGCGGGCGUCUUAAUUGGCGCGGUCACGAGGCUUAAUAUGCUGCGGCAGGGAAAACUUGGGCGACCGCUGUAAUACUUCUCUCUUAAACCAGAGGAAGAUUGCGGCAAUAACAGGUCUGUGAUGCCCUCAGAUGUCCCGGGCCGCACACGUGCUACAUUGAUUAGCGCAGUGCGCAUACUUACAUAUAGAUCAUUGAUUGGUUAUUUAUAACCGUCAAUAUCGCCUUGUCUGAAAGGACUAGGUAAUCUAUUGUAAGUGCUGGUUCCUCCUCCCGUUGAGCAUUUUAAUAAUGGUCUCUCUACAUCCCUAGCACAUGAUGUCUAGUGCGAUUGUAGUUGAGUCUUGCCAUUUAUGCAAGUGUCAAUUCUCAGUGGGGACAGCCAUUUGAUAAUUCUUUGGCUCGGCCUCAACUAGGAAUGCCUUGUACGGGUCUUGGUUCAACAGACCACCCGGAAUACGUCCCUGCCCUUUGUACACACCGCCCGUCGCUCUUACCGAUGAAUUGUACUGUGAGUUUGCAGGACCGAACCCAUUUUUGGGUUUGGAAAUGCAGUCAAACAGUACG
rnacentral:rRNA from 1 species